UACAGAGGUGCCGAGCGUUAGGCGGAAUCACUGGGCUUAAAGCGUGUGUAGGCGGACUUCUAAGUACCUUGUGAAAUCCCACGGCUCAACCGUGGAACUGCUCGGUAUACUGGUCGUCUUGAGCCACCUAGGGGCGAGCGGAACAAGCGGUGGAGCGGUGAAAUGCGUAGAUAUCGCUUGGAACGCCAACGGUGAAAACAGCUCGCUGGGGGUGUGCUGACGCUGAGACACGAAAGCCAGGGGAGCGAACGGG
rnacentral:rRNA from 1 species